rnacentral:rRNA from 1 species
GACGAACGCUGGCGGCGUGCUUAACACAUGCAAGUCGAACGGAAAGGCCCUGCUUUUGUGGGGUGCUCGAGUGGCGAACGGGUGAGUAACACGUGAGUAACCUGCCCUUGACUUUGGGAUAACUUCAGGAAACUGGGGCUAAUACCGGAUAGGAGCUCCUGCUGCAUGGUGGGGGUUGGAAAGUUUCGGCGGUUGGGGAUGGACUCGCGGCUUAUCAGCUUGUUGGUGGGGUAGUGGCUUACCAAGGCUUUGACGGGUAGCCGGCCUGAGAGGGUGACCGGCCAAUUGGGGACUGGACUCCGCCCCGGCCCCCACGGGGGGGCAGAAGGGGGGAUUGUUCAACAGGGGGCGGAGCCCUAACGCAGCACCGCCGCGGGGGGGAGGAGGCCUUUGGGUUGGAAACCCGUUUCCCCCUGUGACGAAGCGGGAGUGAGGGUAAGGGGUAAAGAAGCACCGGCUACCUACGUG